AGCGAACGCUGGCGGCAGGCCUAACACAUGCAAGUCGAACGCCCCUUCGGGGGAGUGGCGGACGGGUGAGUAACGCGUGGGAAUGUGCCCUUUGGUACGGAACAACUGAGGGAAACUUCAGCUAAUACCGUAUGUGCCCUACGGGGGAAAGAUUUAUCGCCAUUGGAGCAGCCCGCGUUGGAUUAGGUAGUUGGUGGGGUAAUGGCCCACCAAGCCGACGAUCCAUAGCUGAUCUGAGAGGAUGAUCAGCCACACUGGGACUGAGACACGGCCCAGACUCCUACGGGAGGCAGCAGUGGGGAAUCUUGCGCAAUGGGCGAAAGCCUGACGCAGCCAUGCCGCGUGAAUGAUGAAGGUCUUAGGAUUGUAAAAUUCUUUCACCGGGGAAGAUAAUGACGGUACCCGGAGAAGAAGCCCCGGCUAACUUCGUG
rnacentral:rRNA from 1 species